CGGAGACAAUGGACUCAGUCCCAGAUACAGUCACACUGGGCCGAGCGCAGCUACCGCUGCAGAAUCUAGUCACGGACCCCCCACCCACACACACGCUCAUGGAGUUGGUUGGAACUGGGCCGUGAGAAAGGAGCUGAGG
ensembl:misc_RNA